GUGAAAUUGUUGAAAGGGAAACGAUUGAAGCCAGUCGUACCUGCGGGUAAUCAGCCUUUUGGGUGUGAUUAUGUGGAGCGUGAGGAGCUAAACACCCUCAUCUUUGCAUAUUCGUGCACUUUGGGUGUACUUGCCCGUGUGGUAGGUUAACAUCAAUUUUGAUCGUCAUAAAAUGGCUAGAGGAAUGUAGCUUCGAUCCCGUAUUGAAGUGUUAUAGCCUUUGGUAGAUGUGAUGAUUAGGAUUGAGGAUUGCAACGGAUACCCUCUGGGCUAUUCGUCUGAUCUCUGGAAGUUACUUUGGUGUCGAAAGCGUGCUUACGAUAUUAAGGUUGACGGCCAAUAGGUUAGAACGUGAUUAAAUUCGUUAAGGAUGUUGACGUAAUGGCUUUAAACGAC
rnacentral:rRNA from 1 species